GAUGAACGCUGGCGGCGUGCCUAAUACAUGCAAGUCGAGCGAAUGGACGAGAAGCUUAGUUCCCUGCUGUUAGGGGCGGACGGGGGAGUAACACGUGGAUAACCUAUCUAAAAUACAGGGAUAUCCUCGGGAAACCGGAUCUAAUACCGGAUGAUAUUUUGAGCCGCAGGGUGCACACGUGUAAGACGGUCUUGCUGUCGCUGAUAGAUGCAUCCGCGCUGCAUUAGCUAGUUGGUAAGGUGACGGCUUACCAAGGCAGCGAUGCAUAGCCGACCCGAGAGGGUCGUCGGCCAGCCUGGAUGUGAGACUCGUCCCCGACUCCUACGGUAGGCCGCGGUAGGGACUCUUACGCGAUGCGGGAGAGCCUGACGGAGCAACGCCGCGUGAGUGAUGAAGGUCUUCGGAUCGUAGAGCUCUGUUGUUAGUGAAGAACAUAUGUGUAAGUACCUGUGAACAUAAUGACGGUACCUAAUCAGAAAGCCACGGCUAACUACGUG
rnacentral:rRNA from 1 species